CAUUUAAAACUCAAAAUGACCAACAAGGCAAUAUGGUAUUAAGUCAGACAAUUUUGGUCCAGAUACGAUGUACUGCUUAGCUUGAGAUGAAACAACAACAACAAUAUAGGAACAAAAGUGCAAAGAUUGAUACAUCAAUUCCAGCUGCAACCAAUCAAAGAAUGAACAACAUCCAAACAACAAGACACUCCAAGUGCCCCAUGUGAGUCAAUAAUGAUGUGCACAACUAAGAUUCAGCAUGUGUAUAGGCCAAAAAAUAGUCUAAUAAGAGGGGUUUGCAAUUUCAUUCAUACCUUUUCUGUGAG
rnacentral:misc_RNA from 1 species